GUCCAGACGGCGUCGCCAGCUGCCCAGGCAGUUCCUAUCCCUUUCGGAGCUCCAGCCUGCCCCUCCUGACGCUCUCAGAGUCUGGCCUUCUGCUGGGCCCCGGGUCUCUCACUGGCAGAAUGGAGUUCUCGGAGCUGAUCCAUACGGGCUGAGCCCAAGCAGAGUUUCUACGGGGCCCGGAGGCGCCCCCGCUUCGCGGCACGGUGUGAGUCACCGUCCACCACCUGCUCCUGUCGCCAGGGCCCGCGUCCUCUCCGGACCUGUGGCUGCUGCUGUUGCGUAGCGUCGACUCCUUCGAGAAGCAGAACGUCCCUCCCCAGGGUUGCGAGUGACUCGGGCACCAUCACCCUGUGCUGUAAAGACCUGCGAGUGCUGCAGCUGGAAAUAGAGGGCGCGGAAGCGACGCUGGGCAUCGCCCGCUCCAUCGAGGGCCUGAGAUUGGGCGACUCCUGGCACUUCCUCCCGCCCGAACUCUACUGCAAGAGAGUAGCUCGCGAAGUGGGCGCGGUCGUAGGGGCCCGGGAAGGUGGAAGCGCCGGGCCUGGAAGAGGCGCGGGGACAGGGCACUCCCUGGGUGCCCUAGACCUGGCCUCUCUCCUCCCUGCGCUGCAGACCAACGCGUGGCGGCUGAGCGAGGUUCUGCUACGCUCCAGCCAGCCCCUAACUGGUCCCCAGAAGCGGCGCUGCUACAGGGACCAGGAGCUGCUGCGAACUGCGCUGGCGGGGGCUCGUCCUUGGGCGCGGGGCUUCAUCAUGGACACGCUCUCGGCCCAGGCCGCGAAACAAGCCCGCGUGACUGGCGGAGGCACAGAGACCAAGGCCGCUUAACCUGGCUGGUUGCACUGGUCCCUGGAGAGCACUGAGCACAGGGGCUGCCACAGUGGCCGGCUCAGACAUGGCAGAGAUCAGCAGAGAAUGGGCAAUCAGGCUCCCCUGAGAUGAGCAGCAGCGCAGAGGAGGUGCCCCUCUCUUACUACACCAACUUCAGAGGGCGUCCCCUGCAGGAGAGCUUCAUGCGCCUGGUGGAGGCCUGUGGGGACUCGGAGCAAAGCAUGGACAACUGGCUGAGUCGGCUGGACGGCUGCCGCUGACUGUAACAUGUAAAGCAGGCACUGAGCACCACCUGCCUGGCAGUCCAGGGCAUGGAGAGGCACAGACAGCACCCUGCUUGUGACUUCACUGGCCCAACUCAUCCUGGACCCCUUGAGCAAGACCAUGGCUGGAUUCCAGGAACUGGUGGAGUGGAAGUGGAUCCAGGAAAAUGCCGUGUGAAGGGAGGACUCAGAUGCACUCCCUGUGGUCUGGGCUCAACCAGCCAAAAGAGCAACAAAGACUCCAGAACCCACUCUACCUCCUCAAUCCCUUGGCCAUCUGUGGAGCCCCAGAGCCUGCGGCUGUGGCAAGGCCUGUUUCUGCGCUGGACCUGCUCACCUGAGCCUGCAGAAGCUGCAUGGGGGAAGAGUGUGGCAAAUAGUGACAGGAAGGGAGAAGACAGAAGCCUCUCAGCCAACUGCUUCAGCCGAGCCCCUAUUCUAAGCACUGGCUCCUUGGAUAGCAGCUGAGAUGUUCCUGAAACCUCUGCAGGCCCCUUAGGACCUUUACACCUUGGAUGAGGGUGCCUGCAACCCAGGUUAGCCAAAAGUACUGAGGGUCUUAAGUUUGAAGUGUCCAAAGUAUAGGGAGGUCUCAAUAAUAAAAGUCUCCAUGAUCAGC
rnacentral:lncRNA from 1 species